CCCAAGAUGAGUUUUAAGAUGUGUUUAUGUUGGCGGGGGGGGGGUGUAGUUAUGGGUUGGCCCUAAUGAUCCCUAACAUUGCAAACGCUUUGCUAGUUUGCCUUCAGUGCUGUUAUGGGAGUUUAUGAGCUUGUUCCUGGCUAAAUAAAACAUUCCUCCACAUGGUUAAUGGUACUCUGACAAUGUUUUUGCAGUGCUAAUGCUUUAGAUUCCACCUGCGAUGGACCUUUGUAGCGUGGAUCCUAAAUGGAAACCUGCUGUGAGGUUUAAGAUUAGAAGCAACUUACUAUCCCUCACAUUAUCCAUGCUUCACUUCCACGGAGGUGAAAUCCAAAACUGUGGAGAAGUUGACGAAGCUGAAUCACACGAGGAUCCCAGGCCUCAGACUCGAAGCAUCUGCACUGCAUUGCUGGAAGCGCUUUCAGUGGCUCCAGGCAGAAGCCCUUGUUUGUGUGCCUCCUUGGUGCCUCCGAAGGCUGUGUGAGCCCUCAGCCCCUCCGCCCAUCUGACCGCCUCCUGGCCUCGGCCGCUGUGCGCUGUCACAUUCUCUUGUCAUGGAUGUGAACGUGCUCUUCUGCUCACAUGCCCUGCCUCCCGCUGCCUCUUUUCUUGCCGCGCAGGGACCUCCAGUCCUGCGGAUGGCGCUGUGAUGCAUGAUGGUGUCUGACAUCUCAUGGGAGCCUACCAAAUGAGCCUCCCAGGGCCAAGUGUAUAAGGAAACUUGCCAUUUGCUCAAUAAAAUACAUCUCCAGUGUUCCAGUACCAUGUACUAUUUCCACAGAGAUUGAGCUAAUUUAAUUGGUCAAGGGAAGAGAUAGGGCAGAGUUUCACUUCAGGCCCCGUCAGGCAGUGCUGAGCAGCAGAAUUCCUAACCCUAAAAGAUCACUUCAGGUAGUCACCUCCAGUCUUUGCAAGCUGGUUUGGUGUCUCAGUGUUAUCACACACUUUAAGUCACUGGUUAGAUUGAUGCUGCUGUGGUGUGCAGUUUCCGGAAGGAGAAGGAAGAAUCUUUGCCUCUGGUGGUUGGGUGGUGUCUCACGUAGAGGAACAUCUCAGGGCUCUGAAGGCACUUUGGCGAGCGCUAUAGAAACGCAGCUGGAGGAAUAGUUAACCCCUGAAUUAUUCAGGAGGGGGUUGCCGCAUGUGAUGUAUGCACACUUGCAGAGCUGGUGGGGUGUAGUGCAUUUGAUGGUUAGGGGGUUGAUGUGCUGCUUUUUUGUGAAGGUGCAUCCUGCAAGAUCUCAGCUCAGUUUCCACGGGGACGUGGGGGGGGCUCGCAUUCAUUAUUAAUCAGCCAUCUUAAAGACAUUGUGCAGAUUUAAAUCGUCAGCUCAUGACAACAUGCAUUCACAGCGACCCGCUGAGGACUUAAAGCAGUCAGACAGGCCGCGGCAUUGGGUGGCGUUUUUGCUUCUGAUGUUACGGUGAGGUAGCUGUUUUCAGAUGUAACCCUGUUUUCAGAUGUAUCCAUGUUUGCAGAUGACACCCUGGAGUCUGAGGACCUGCAGAACCCUGUGAAAUGUUGGCUUUGAUGCAGAGUAACACAGCCUCACGUGGAAAUGAGUCUAACACGAGGCAGGAGGAGCCUGGAUUGUGAGCCUGAGACCCAGAAACAGAUGGAGCCUUCUCAGGUUCUUCAUUAACGAGUGCAAAGACCAAGUACCUCUGAUAUAGCUAUCAUCUCAUGAGGUAGGCCUUCUUCCUCUAAUUAAGCGUCUUUGUGUGUGUUUGGUGCUUAUCCUUCUCCUGAAUGACUCAAAGUGGGCCAGUUAGAGGGAGAGUGUGAGGUACAGACGUCAGAUGUGCCGCUUUUAAAGCCCACUUCUUGGUGCUGAGUGCAGCCAGAUCCCCGCACAGAGCCUCAGAGGCACAGCCUGAUGAAUUGGAGCCAAGGUGGUAAUAAGGAAGUGGAAUGCAGUUUGGCAGCGGGCGUUAAGUGUCUCAGUGACCCGCCCGCUCGUGCCAAAGUGAGUGUGCCUCAUCACUGUGUGAGUCAGACACUCCAUAAACCAGAGCGGUGUGAUUGGCCAGGAAUUUAAGAACACACGUACGCAGUUAUAGCUCAGCCGGGAACGAGGGGAACACAUGUACGCAGUUAUAGCUCAGCCGGGAACGAGGGGAGCACAUGUACGCGGUUAUAGCUCAGCCGGGAACGAGGGGAAUACAUGUAGGUGGUGACAGAUCAGGAGAUGUAUGAGAUUGAGGCUUCUGAGCGGAAUACCCAUGUAGAUGAUGGUAAAUUAUAAUGGUGCAAAAAUAACAAACACAUGGUCAUUCUCCUGCUGCAGAAGAGGGUAAAGCUUGUCUAAUCUGAAGGAUCACAGCUACACAUCUUAAAUAACAGGAUCGAUUUUUAGCAUCUGUAAACCACACUAUGUAUUCUACGAUGUGAUAGCUCCACUGGAAUGAUAGGUUACACUAGCUGUGUAAUUCAUUGUUCACAGCAAGUCCAUAGUUUAAGGCAGCCAUUGUGAGCUUGAAAUGUGAGGACUGGUGUCUGACCUUAGGUCACCCUGCAGUCAGACGAGGGAAGGCGUUUGGCAGCAGGGACGAGCGAGCACCAAUUAAAACACACUCAUCUGGCUUCUGCUGCAUCCUCACAAGGUCACAGUCCGGUUCAGCCGUCGUGUUGCAGAGUUCCACCACAUGGCGAUGAUGCUCACACCGCCGAUGUAUUUUAUAAUGCACACCUGUGGGUUGGACGGGGUUUAAUUCACUUUUUACAAGGCUGACAAACUAUAAAGAACAACAGAAAAAUACAACUUGAAUAGCUGAACCGACGACCUAAUACUUUGGGGUUAUUUAUUAUGGAAUCGUAUGUGUUCUUCUCAGUUCAGUUUUGUAAGGAAGGGGAGAUCUCUUUUGUGUGUGCGGAAUGAAAUCCCCAUAUGUAACUGAGGAAAAAAUACACAAAUCAGAAUUUGUUUGUCGCACUAGUUCACAUUAAUAAGAUUAAAAUUUUACUCCUGACAGAUAUUGCACAAAUUGUGUUCGAGUUCAGCGCGGCUGGGUUCCUAAAUUGAAUCAGAGUGCUCUUGAGGUAUACAUGCAAUCCCGUUAAUUCAUUUGUAAGCUGUCUUCUGCGGUCAGCCGCAGUGGCAUCUUCUAAACGAGAGGGUGCUUGUUUUCGUAUAAAUAAACCAAGGCUUAUCUAUUCUAGGCAAAGUAUGUGGGCCUGCCAGCACCGGAGCCGUUUCAGAGCAAAAAUAUUUAGUUUCCCUUCUCUCGGUUAGGUCCUUGUUUGCUCCACUACUCCUGAGAUAUAAGACAGGUUUGUCGACCCGCUGUACAGGUGAUCUAUCAGCGUGCAGCUGUUGACAGAGGCAGCCAAUCAGGGACAAAUGUGUGGAGAAGAAAAAUCUGUAAUGAUUAAUCUGAGGCGUAGGGCUGCUGACAUGGACAUAGAUUUGAUCUCGACUAUCAGGAGGAGUGUCUCAUUCUUCUCUGUGAGAAUAAUGUAUUCGCUCCCAUGAGAAGAGAAUAAAUGAUUAGGGGAAGAAGAGGAAUUAAAAGCAAGAGAGAGGGAGAGAGGCCUUAGUGAUCCAGACGCCAGGGCGGUUUGGAGCUUGUGUGAGUGAGGGUGAGGCUCUGCCAGGUCUGCCUCAGGACCAGCCCCACGUUCCUGCUGGUGGCUCUCACCUUCUCCAGCUCUGCCCCCUCCCUGCCUGGCGUUUAAGGUACUUGACACUGCGUUUGUCCUCCAUUACUGUAUCUUGCUGUAUGUUUCUUCAUGUUUCUGACAUCUUCUUUGGCAUCUCUGCCAUCUUUUGUUAUUAUAUCUAUGACUGUACUUUAUCCCUUAAGCAUUUUAAACUUUUACCGAUUUGAACGGCUGGAUUCUUUGCCCGUUGUUUUCCAGGAGAGCAACGUCAGAACUGAUCCUGAGACGUAUAUCAGCCACUUUCACUCUUUUAAUACUUUGAGUUUAGUUUUUUAAAGCUUUCUGAUCUUUUCAAUUACAUGUUUUAGGCAGUUAAGAAUGGUUAUAUUCAUGAUAAUGUGAUAUUUAUGCUUUGCCAAUUAGAUCAUCAUUACAUCACAUUACUAUUAUUUAAGGUUGUUUAAUGCGAAAUAGCUUCAUGUAUCCUCACUUAUCUCUUGCCAUUAAACUCCUGUAAUUGGGAUCAUUGACAUUUCGACCACAUUUCUACAUCAGACACCCUCCCAGCGUUACUCUGUCCACUAAACCUGGCCUCCUCAGUCUGCAUUGCCUUUUUAACAAUCUAAUCACUGUAAAUGCCACACGCGGCACUGUGCUUGGAUGGCACCAGCUAUUGCCAUGGCUGUGAUCUCUAGCUGUCACCUCUGUCACCCGUCACACAGUGCGGGUGCCAUCGACAGGUUUCUCAUCUGGCAACCACGCUGACGGCUCACCUAGCCAUCAUUUUCUGGGCAGUCUGGGGUGGGGGGGAAGGUGCCCUUGGUGAGUGGAGUGGAAAGUCCCAGAGGUGCCAUCGAGGGCAUGUGUCUGGUGUCCCUUGUACCCAGAGAGCAUCCAGAUGCUGCGUAUUAGACCUGGGGAGGCAUGGAGCUGAUUUAUUGAUGGCCAUAGGUCUGUUCCUGUCCCUAACGACCACAGAAAUACCUUAAUGCCCCCCGGUGGCACUAAGCCACAUAGCGCUUUGCACAGGUAACUAUUAUAAGAUCCCAUUACAUACAUAGCCUGUGUAAUGGCUUGUUUAUUCACCUGGCAUGUAAAUCCUGGAUGGUUUAUAAGUGUUUUGAAGUGCAUGUGUAGUCUUGCAUGGCUGGAUACAAUGCAAACCGAUAGGAAAGAAUGUUGAUUGGAUGUGAGGUGAGAGGGGAAGCUGAUGAUUGGAGGGAGGUGAAGGGAACAGGGAUGUGGGAUCUGCCCUCUCUCCUCCUCUUCCUUCUUGCUCCCCUUCUCCUCAUGCCCUUUCUCCUCAUCCUCUUCCUGCCUGCUCCCCUUCUGCUCAAGCCCACUCUCCUCCUCCUGCC